AUGUCAAUGGCGGAGGAGCAGUACUACGGGGGCCCGCGCGGGGCGCCGCACGGGCUGCUGCUGGCGGUGGUGGUGGGGCUGGUGGUGGCGGGCCCGCUCUUCCUGGGCGACGGCGGCGAGGCGGUCACCGACGCCAUCGCCGAGCUGCUCAGCCCCGUGGGCCUGCUCCUCCUCCCCGUGGGCCUGCUCCUCCUCAUCCGCCUCCUCUCCUCCGACCGCGGCGCCGCGGCGCUCGCCGACGUGUUCGCCUUCGGCGGCUCGCCCGACGCCGUGCACCGCGUCGGGGGCUCCCCCAUCGGCGUGGCGCUCAUGCUGCUCCUCAUCCUCGCCCUCCUCUACUACCGCUCCGCGCUCUUCGGCGGCGGCGGAGACGACGACGAGUAG
rnacentral:rRNA from 1 species